rnacentral:rRNA from 1 species
UGUGGUCAAGUUUUUAAGAGCACACGGUGGAUGCCUUGGCAUUAGGAGCCGAAGAAGGACGUAGGAAUCUGCGAUAAGCCUGGGGGAGUCGAUAACCGGACUGUGAUCCCAGGGUGUCCGAAUGGGGAAACCCCGCCAGACGCGCGAGUGAUCUGGUGACCCGCAUCUGAACACAUAGGGUGCGUGGAGGGAACGCGGGGAAGUGAAACAUCUCAGUACCCGCAGGAAGAGAAAACAAUAGUGAUUCCGUUAGUAGUGGCGAGCGAACGCGGAUCAGGCUAAACCGUUCCAUGUGUGAUAGCCGGCGGGCGUUGCAUGGUCGGGGUUGUGGGACUUUCCGUACUGUCUCUGCCGGGACAGUGAGGUGUGAUGUGCAGGCAUAGGUGAACGGUCUUGAAAGGCCGGCCAGAGAGGGUGUGAGCCCCGUAACCGAAAUGUUUUGUGCCGCCUGGAGAGUAUCCCAAGUAGCACGGGGCCCGAGAAAUCCCGUGCGAAUCUGUCAGGACCACCUGAUAAGCCUAAAUACUCCCUAAUGACCGAUAGCGGACCAGUACCGUGAGGGAAAGGUGAAAAGUACCCCGGGAGGGGAGUGAAACAGUACCUGAAACCGUGUGCUUACAAUCCGUCGGAGCAGCCUUUGUAGUUGUGACGGCGUGCCUUUUGAAGAAUGAGCCUGCGAGUUAGUGUUACGUCGCGAGGUUAACCCGUGUGGGGAAGCCGUAGCGAAAGCGAGUCUGAAUAGGGCGUUGCAGUGGCGUGAUCUAGACCCGAAGCGAAGUGAUCUACCCAUGGCCAGGUUGAAGCGACGGUAAGACGUCGUGGAGGACCGAACCCACUUCAGUUGAAAAUGGAGGGGAUGAGCUGUGGGUAGGGGUGAAAGGCCAAUCAAACUUCGUGAUAGCUGGUUCUCCCCGAAAUGCAUUUAGGUGCAGCGUUGCGUGUUUCUUACCGGAGGUAGAGCUACUGGAUGGCUAAUGGGCCCUACAAGGUUACUGACGUCAGCCAAACUCCGAAUGCCGGUAAGUGAGAGCGCAGCAGUGAGACUGUGGGGGAUAAGCUUCAUAGUCGAGAGGGAAACAGCCCAGACCACCAACUAAGGCCCCUAAGCGUGUGCUAAGUGGGAAAGGAUGUGGAGUUGCGAAGACAACCAGGAGGUUGGCUUAGAAGCAGCCAUCCUUAAAAGAGUGCGUAAUAGCUCACUGGUCAAGUGAUUCCGCGCCGACAAUGUAGCGGGGCUCAAGUACACCGCCGAAGUUGUGGAUUUCAGAUAGUAGCCAAGCCGCCCACUUGUUGGGUUGGUUCAGGCGUCUGGAGUGGUAGGGGAGCGUCGUGUGGGCAGUGAAGUCGCGGUGUAAACCAGCGGUGGAGCCUACACGAGUGAGAAUGCAGGCAUGAGUAGCGAAAGACGGGUGAGAAACCCGUCCGCCGAAUGAUCAAGGGUUCCAGGGUCAAGCUAAUCUGCCCUGGGUAAGUCGGGACCUAAGGCGAGGCCGACAGGCGUAGUCGAUGGACAACGGGUUGAUAUUCCCGUACCGGCGAAAAACCGCCCAUGCUGAACAGGGGAUACUAACCGCCCGAGACCUGCCCGAUCACCCUUGUGGUGUGAGGGUUUUGGUGGAGCGCGGGACCUGAUCCUGGGAGGCAAGCGUAUUAACAGGUGUGACGCAGGAAGGUAGCCAAGCCGGGCGAUGGUUGUCCCGGUCUAAGGAUGUAGGGCGAACGGUAGGCAAAUCCGCCGUUCAUGAUGCCUGAGAUCUGAUGGGACCCCCGUUUGGGGGGAUUUGGUGAUCCUAUGCUGCCGAGAAAAGCAUCGACGCGAGGUUUUAGCCGCCCGUACCCCAAACCGACACAGGUGAUCAGGUAGAGAAUACUAAGGCGAUCGAGAGAAUUAUGGUUAAGGAACUCGGCAAAAUGCCCCCGUAACUUCGGGAGAAGGGGGGCCCCAACCUUGAUGGACACUUGCUGUCCGGAGGGGAUCGGGGCCGCAGAGACCAGGGGGAAGCGACUGUUUACUAAAA